rnacentral:rRNA from 1 species
GAUGAACGCUGGCGGCGUGCUUAACACAUGCAAGUCGAACGGGAAACCUUUUAUUGAAGCUUCGGCAGAUUUAGCUGGUUUCUAGUGGCGGACGGGUGAGUAACGCGUGGGUAACCUGCCUUAUACAGGGGGAUAACAACCAGAAAUGGUUGCUAAUAACGCAUAAGCGCACAGGACCGCAUGGUCCGGUGUAAAAACUCCGGUGGUAUAAGAUGGACCCGCGUUGGAUUAGCUAGUUGGCAGGGUAACGGCCUACCAAGGCGACGAUCCAUAGCCGGCCUGAGAGGGUGAACGGCCACAUUGGGACUGAGACACGGCCCAGACUCCUACGGGAGGCAGCAGUGGGGAAUAUUGCACAAUGGGGGAAACCCUGAUGCAGCGACGCCGCGUGAAGGAAGAAGUAUCUCGGUAUGUAAACUUCUAUCAGCAGGGAAGAUAGUGACGGUACCUGACUAAGAAGCCCCGGCUAACUACGUG